ACACAGUAGGAACUCAUGUCAUUUCUUGUAAGUAAACCAGAGCGAAUCAGGCGGUGGGUCUCGGAAAAGUUCAUUGUUGAGGGCUUAAGAGAUUUGGAACUAUUUGGAGACCAAUGAUGCGAGCUCAGAGUCAAUAGCAUCCUUCUCUAAACAGGAGGUCAUGAGUAGCUUUCUGCCAGAGGGAGGGUGUUACGAGCUGCUCACUGUGAUAGGCAAAGGAUUUGAGGACCUGAUGACUGUGAAUCUAGCAAGGUACAAACCAACAGGAGAGUACGUGACUGUACGGAGGAUUAACCUAGAAGCUUGUUCCAAUGAGAUGGUAACAUUCUUGCAGGGCGAGCUGCAUGUCUCCAAACUCUUCAACCAUCCCAAUAUCAUGCCAUAUCGAGCCACUUUUAUUGCAGACAAUGAGCUGUGGGUUGUCACAUCAUUCAUGGCAUACGGUUCUGCAAAAGAUCUCAUCUGUACACACUUCAUGGAUGGCAUGAAUGAGCUGGCGAUUGCUUACAUCCUGCAGGGGGUGCUGAAGGCCCUCGACUACAUCCACCACAUGGGAUAUGUACACAGGUGCGUUCUUAGGCGGCCUUUCCCAUGAUUACAGUGGGUAGCUAUACCCCUGAGCCUUCAGGUAAAGUGAAGUUUGACUGAAGUUAAUGAAGCCAGAGUUUAAAAUCAAGGAUCUGGAUUCUUGCUGAA
rnacentral:sRNA from 1 species